rnacentral:rRNA from 1 species
GGACUACCGGGGUUUCUAAUCCCAUUUGCUCCCCUAGCUUUCGUUCCUCAGCGUCAGUUACAGCCCAGCAAGCCGCUUGCGCCACCGGUGUUCUUCCCAAUAUCUACGCAUUUCACCGCUACACUGGGAAUUCCGCUUGCCUCUACUGCACUCCAGUCCACCAGUAUCCAAUGCUGUACCAGGGUUGAGCCCCAGCCUUUUACAUCAGACUUAGUGAACCACCUACGAACUCUUUACGCCCAAUAAAUCCGGACAACGCUCGCAUCCUACGUCUUACCGCGGCUGCUGGCAC